UCGCUACUACCGAUCGAAUGAUUUAGUGAGCUCCAUGGACUACUGCUUUUGGUUGGGUUUCCUUCUGAGAGUGGUGGGAAAUGGUACAAACUUGACCAUUUAGAGGAAGUAA
rnacentral:rRNA from 1 species